GUUGUUUACAGUAACUUAGAGACUCAUCUCGGGCAAAAAAAUUAAAUUAAAUUGUGAAAAUUUUUGUGGAUUAUUUUUUACAACUUUGCAUCGAUGAACUAAACUCAGUUUUUGCGGAUGACUCUCCAGUGUUUAUUGAUGUUAUGGUGAAUUUAGCCGAGGUCAUAGUACACUCUAAGACGAAUUUCGUGAAGAUUGUCUUGUGACCUAUCGUGAGAUUGAGACAACCAUAGGCAUUAGUGGGACCAGCAUACUCGUACCGUCAAUAUUGCCUGAACAUUUGACCGUCAAAAGAAUUUGUUCGCAUUGGAUCCCACACAAUUUGUCAAUCGCUCAAAAAAAGGCUCGUGUCGAUUGGUCGAAAGAAAUGCCCCAAAAAUACUAAACAACUGAUAUUUGAGCACUCAAAACAUCGACAUCGAUGAAUCAUCCGCCGUAUAGUCCUAGAUCUUAAUGGGAAUAUUUUGAAAAACAAUAAAGCGAUUUGCGAUAAUUAGUA